UGUUGGUCCGACGAUGAAGCUAAUUGUGGACUAGAGUUUCUGAUCUGGUUUUAUCCAGGAGUUGAAGACAAACCCUUGGCUGUCUGAGUUCCUCA
rfam:Amborella trichopoda AMTR_V1.0_contig_4402, whole genome shotgun sequence.